CCUACGGGAGGCAGCAGUGAGGAAUAUUGGUCAAUGGGCGGAAGCCUGAACCAGCCAAGUCGCGUGAGGGAUUAAGGCCCUGCGGGUCGUAAACCUCUUUUGCCGGGGAGCAGAGGUCCGGACGUGUCCGGGCCGGGAGAGUACCCGGAGAAAAAGCAUCGGCUAACUCCGUGCCAGCAGCCGCGGUAAUACGGAGGAUGCGAGCGUUAUCCGGAUUUAUUGGGUUUAAAGGGAGCGUAGGCCGGCUUUUAAGUCAGCUGUGAAAGUCCGCGGCUCAACCGUGGAAUUGCAGUUGAAACUGGAGGCCUGGAGUGCACACAGGGAUGCCGGAAUUCAUGGUGUAGCGGUGAAAUGCUUAGAUAUCAUGAAGAACUCCGAUCGCGAAGGCAAGUGUCCGGGGUGCAACUGACGCUGAGGCUCGAAAGUGCGGGUAUCAAACAGGAUUAGAUACCCUGGUAGUC
rnacentral:rRNA from 1 species